AAUUUGAAAAAGGAAAGUGCCCGUUUUUCGCCGUUAAAUGUUGCAGCCUAAUUUUGGAUCGAGAAUUAAGUGCGACGAAGAUGGCCGUUAAUAAUAGUUCUACUACUUUAAGAACACGAUUCAGAUUUGGAUAACGACUUCGAAGGCAUUCGCAGGAGACCACACAGAGAAAGAGAGGGAGACACAAAACCACCUGUCUCGGUGUCACACAUGAGGAGUUGAGGAGGAGAUGAAGUCAGUGAAUAUGACCUGGCCUGGGGGAGUUUCCAGAAGAAGGCCCAGAAUCGCUGGAUGCCAGGAGUGGAGAUCCUUCGUUGCUGCCCUACAUGAUAGGAGGCAUCGGGCAGUAGAUGCUGUAAUUUGAAACGGAAGGUGUCCUGCCAAUAAAUUUUCAUCCCACCUGAACUGCCUUGCCUGCCUGCACCCAGUCAUCUGUUCCUGAGCAUUUUCAUUUUCCUCUAUUUUUCAUCAUCGUUUGUUUCGGCCUGUAUGAAGUGAAUUUCACAUUGAUUGGUGGAGCUGCUAAGUUGGCAUUACAGGGCCACGCCGGGGUAUGAUCCUUUGGGUUGAACAUCAUGACUGCUAGUUGGUCGGCAAAGGUGAUGGGAUCGAUCAAUGUCACAUGGAGUAAGAUCGAUACCAAUCUGCUUUGCUACAUUUCGAACAAUCUCAUACGGAUACGGAUAUUAUUGCGACAGGAGUACUGCUCGAUGUGGUCAAGCCUAUUUGACAAAGCAUUAUGGUGUUAGUCAUGUUAUCAGAAACCGAUUUUUCAAAAUCACGGAGUUGCUUCAAUUUAUUAUCGAUAGAUAUUUCAAGAACAUGUAGACUAGUGAGCUUUUCAUCAAGAAUUUCAUGCAAUUUAUUUUCGCGCUUAUCCAUGUCAUCAUUGAGUUUUUGUCUCUCGCGUUCCAUUGCCACGGCCACCGCUCUUUGAACGACUGUAUCAAUAUGAUCUAGGUAUGCUGGGCUUUGUUUAGAUCCAGUUAAUGAUGAAGCAGAGGAUUGUGUACAUGCGUUAGCCGAGUGCAAGCGGCCUCUUGAUCUGGUGGAUAUCUUAGACAUGUUAGAGAUUAUGUAAUGAUAUAAUUGAAAAGUGGGAUGGGCUGUGCAUCUGCCAACUCACCAGUCAACCAAUUAGAGACGGCCUUCCAAAGUGACACAGCACGAAAAUAUCAAUAUGGGACUGGUCUAGUCAACACAUACAUGUAGAUCCUGAAAAAACCAUGGAGACCGCAGACGCAAAAUGACUUCCAUACAUAAAGAUAUGAUGCACAAUCUCCAGUGGGUUCAAAACACUGAACACAUGCUAUGCUGAUACACAGACUAUCAUAAGAACUUUAUCAAGCAAAGGAAAUCUGGUAUGAAAUCUCUCAGCUCACAUAAAAAGCCUACGUAGCUACAUGUAGGGAAGAAAAUGCGUAAUUGCUGAGAAAUGAGCAAAAUAAGCAUGUAAUUAUAUCAAAUGUCAGGUAUUUUUCGAAUCGAUUAUAAUACACUGUCCCACAUAUGCUUUUCUGUGUUUACAGCGAUCAUCAGAAUUAUCGAUUUUAAGUUUAAAAAUUCAUGAUUUUACAAAGAUACAAGUUUACAUUAAUGUACCAGAUGUAGAUUAUGUACAAUAUAUUGACAAUUCUCGCUACCCCAAAUAGCGAUUUCGCCGAGAUCCGGGAAAAUCCCUGUAACGUGCAUUGCAUUAUGGGAUAGCUUUUUCGGUAUUACAACUUCCUGUUCGGAAGUCCAACGCACUGUUUUGCCAUUUAGAUCAACAGUGCCGUCAUGCACAACAACACAACGUAGCUUUCGCUCGGAAAGUUCGUGAUCACAACCCUCUCUUUCACUAACAGUUUUACAGCCUUUUCUGCUAAAGUCACUAAUUCUGCCUGACGCUUUCCAUUGCACGGUAUUCAUCUGUCAGUUAAGAUUUUUUUAAGUUCCGAAACUGAUUUUUAUCCAUUUUGUGGUCGACGAAAAAUUGAACGAAAUGAAUGCUGAAUAUAUUUAGUGUCUAGUUGAAUACGAUCGUGAUGUCAGGCCGGUCGCUAAAUGCAAAAUUUUAAGAUAUUCAUUAUUUGUUUGAUUUUUUUAUAACCAAAUAAAAACAUGAAUAAAAAUUAUACUCACGUGAAAUAUAUUUUUUAUUUUUAUUUAUAAUUCAAAUGGAAUCAAAACUGACCAAAUGUAAUAAAAAGUAUUAUACUCUGUACAUAUUACGCUGAUUGGCAUCGAUUUCAGCGUGGUGGAAAACUCAGUAUCGCGAACCUUGCGCGAGCAUGACUCUAAACCGGAAGUGGUGAUGACGACCCGACGGAGUGAAAAUUAUCUCGUCUCGCGCAUUAUGAGAUUUUUGUUCCUAUUUGGGGUAGCGAGAAUUAACUUUGAUUUUAUAGAUUUUCUCAAGAAAUAAUUGUUUGCUGCAACUACUGUCUAUUCCUUCUAAGUGAUAGUGUAAUACAACAGUUCCACAAACUAUUUUCAUCAGACUUAUUGAUGCAUGAUUCUUUCACCCAAAUGCAAGCUUCCAUAAAUCCUGAAAACUUUGCAACUCAGGUAUUUUUUUUUUUA